UAAAUUAUAAACCAAAUAUAAUCUAUAACUGUUUUACUAUAUAUUUAAAAUUUAUCAGCCAUAGUAUGGAACAUGCAUAUUAAAUCCUACCCACCCACUUAAAUAUUAAACCCUAGACAAAUCCCCUAGUUACUAAAUCUAAACCCAAAUAUAAUCUUAACCAUAUGUUGCGAGUGUACAAUUCUAUCUCAGUGACAUAGUACAACACCCAAGAUGCGGUAAGAACUACACAUAAUAAACCCACCCAAAAUCGCUGACUACUAUACGCAAACUCCUACUUAGUAAAUCUAAAUCCUAACCAGGAAUCUAUAAACCCAAAUACAAUCUAUAAACUAUUUUUCAAUAUUAGACAGUCUAAACCCUAACAAGAAACCUAUAACAUGGCAAAUUAUUACAUAUUUAAGAAAUAGUAUAGAACUACUGUCUCAAAUAGUAUAGAAAUAUUGUCACAAAUUGACUUUGUAAAUGCUUUAGAGAAGUUUUGAUCAUUACGAAUAAACUAAUAUAGUAUAGUACACUAAUAUAAGGGUUUAUAUGCUAUCUAACCAAAUUUGACUACUAUACCCACCCACUUAAAUAUUAAACCCUAGAUAAACUCUCUAGUUACUAAAUCUAAACCCAAAUAACUAAACUAUAAACUCAAAUAGAAUUUAUAUAAUAUGCUGCCAAUUUUCUCAACGUAGACGGCAUAGCAUGGAACAUUUAUAAAUAGUAUAGAAUGACUGACUCACACCCAACUUUAAAUAUUAAACCCUAAAUUGUUAUCACUAAGCCCAAAACUCAAUCCUCACCUUGCAAAUACUAAACCCUAAAUCUUAAUCACAAAAUCCUAAACCAUACCACCCAUUUAAAUAUUAAACACUAAACAAACUCCCUAGUUACUAAAUCUAAACCCAAAUAUAAUCUUAACCAUAGGUUGUGAGUGUACAAUUCUAUCUUAGUGACAUAGUACAACACUCAAAAUGCGGUAAGAACUAUACAUAAUUAAUCCACCCAGAAUUGCUGACUACUAUACCUAAACCCCUACUUAGUAAAUCUAAACCCUAACCAGGAACCUAUAAACCCAAAUACAAUCUAUAAGCUGUUUUCAAAUAUUACACAAACUAAACCCUAAUUAUGAACUUAUAACAUGGCAGAUUAUUACAUAUAUAAGAAAUAUGAUAGAACUAUUGUCUCAAGUAGUAUAGAAUUAUUGUCUCAAAUUGACUUUGUAAAUGCUUUAGAGAAGUUUUGAUCAUUACGAAUAAACCAAUAUAGUAUAUUACACUAAUAUAAGGGUUUAUAUGCUAUCUAACCAAAUUUGACUACUAUACCCACCCACUUAAAUAUUUAACCCUAGACAAACUCUCUAGUUACUAAAUCUAAACCCAAAUAACUUAACUAUAAACCCAAAUAGAAUCUAUAUAAUAUGCUGCCAAUUUUCUCAACGUAGACGGCAUAGUAUGAACCUUUAUAAAUAGUAUAGAAUGACUGACUCACACCCAACUUUAAAUAUUAAACUCUAAACAGUUAUCAUUAAACCCAAGACUCAACCCUCACCUUCCAAAUACUAAACCCUAAAUCUUAAUCACAAAAUCCUAAACCAUACCACCCAUUUAAAUAUUAAACCCUAAACGAACUCCCUAGUUACUAAAUCUAAACCCAAAUAUAAUCUUAACCAUAGGUUGUGAGUGUACAAUUCUAUCUCAGUGACAUAGUACAACACCCAAACUGCGGUAAGAACUAUACAUAAUUAAUCCACCCAAAAUUGCUGACUACUAUACCUAAACCCCUACUUAGUAAAUCUAAACUCUAACCAGGAACCUAUAAACCCAAAUA
rnacentral:lncRNA from 1 species